CCGUGCUAGGGGCUGCAGGGCACUAACGCAUUAGCUAACUGUGCUAACACGUUGACACCGUGCAGCCCUCGCACGGGGCGAUCCGCGUUAACUCGCUAACAGAGAUUUGCCGCGUUAAUGCAGUUAUGGCAUUAACGCUGUUUUAAUGAGAUUAACACUGACAGCACUAUUCUUUAAAUUAAUACAAAAUAAUUUUUAUCUGAGUGUUACUGAUAUUGAAAUGCCACAUAAUACAUUUGUUGACAUAACAUUGAAGUGAGUUUGCUCGUUAAGGCCCGACCCUCAUUACAGGUAAAAGGGUAGGGAUAUUUUCACUGUUUCUGUUGUUAUUCUCUUGCAACGAGACACUUUGAAGCACAACGGUCAUCAACAUUGCAUGGAGGCAAACUUCUCUGGCCUGCUGAUGAAUUCACUGAACUUAGAGAGGGGUUUUACCUUCCUCAGGCCUGAGUAUCUAUCCCCUCAAGACAAUAUUGCACAGACACCACGAAGGCAAUAUUUGGCCCAUUCCAUCACUCUAAUUCACUCCCUCCACAUCCAUAUUUCAUUCAGCCUCGGCUUUAAUGAAAGUCAUGGCAACUUCACCACCACUGGAGUCUCCCUGCACACACAUUGAACAAAAAAAAGAAAAGAAAAAAUCAUAAAUAAGGACACUGGCCUUCAUACAAAACAAUAUAAGAGUGACUGGGGCCCGAAAGUUGGGUGGAGAAAGACGAAGAUGAAGUGGGGAGGGGGAUUCAGCUGCAUUGUAGUUGCCUAGAAGAAUCUGGCUAUCUCCCAUCCCCAGCCCUACUUUUCCUCCAUCUGACAACCCCUCCUUCUACCACGUAGACAAGUGCCUGUUUAUCCCAGUGCCCUUCAGAAGACAUUAACACAGGUCUCAUGUGCAGCCCUGUUAUCUUCCACUGGCCUGAAUAUGCUUAGAUUUUAAGUAGGGUUUGCUGUGUUGACUUGGGCAUCUAUAUCCCAAGGAAGUGAAGAUGACAUCCUCACUAAAAGGCUGCGGGGAUACUGGGCUGGGUGGCACAGCAGUUACAUGCAUAUGCAUUGCAUUUACAUAGCCCCGUCCAGCUGGAUACGGCGCUGCAUUACCUAGAAGAGCAAAGGGGAAUGUUUUAGGUUGCUAAUGCUAUGAAAAGUAAAAUUCAGCAUUUUUUUAAAAUCCUCCUGCAACUUACUGCAUUUACAAAAUAGGUACUUUAAAAAUACAGGUGCCUUUAUCCAUUGUUUGUCUCCAUUUUUUCCUCAAAUAUCACUGUGGUUUACCACUAAAGAAAGAAAAAAAAAAACAGUCCAGUUAAUUUCUGCUAAUAUGGCCACUUAUCAUCUUAUGUUAUGGUAAUCCUAUUUUGUAAGUAGGUCCAAACAUGCAAUACACAAGCACGGUAUUGAUCUUAUUGUCUAGCUUUAACCAACAAAGUAAACGCCAUGACAGCAAAAUGUCAAAC
ensembl:lncRNA